UGCAGUCGAGCGGGGAGAAGGUAGCUUGCUACUGGAACCUAGCGGCGGACGGGUGAGUAAUACUUAGGAAUCUGCCUAUUAGUGGGGGACAACGUUCCGAAAGGAGCGCUAAUACCGCAUACGCCCUACGGGGGAAAGCAGGGGAUCACUUGUGACCUUGCGCUAAUAGAUGAGCCUAAGUCAGAUUAGCUAGUUGGUGGGGUAAAGGCCUACCAAGGCGACGAUCUGUAACGGGUCUGAGAGGAUGAUCCGUCACACUGGGACUGAGACACGGCCCAGACUCCUACGGGAGGCAGCAGUGGGGAAUAUUGGACAAUGGGGGGAACCCUGAUCCAGCCAUGCCGCGUGUGUGAAGAAGGCCUUUUGGUUGUAAAGCACUUUAAGCGAGGAGGAGAGUACCCUGGUUAAUACCCAGGAGUGCUGGACGUUACUCGCAGAAUAAGCACCGGCUAACUCUGUGCCAGCAGCCGCGGUAAUACAGAGGGUGCGAGCGUUAAUCGGAUUUACUGGGCGUAAAGCGCGCGUAGGCGGCUCUUUAAGUCGGAUGUGAAAUCCCCGAGCUUAACUUGGGAAUUGCAUUCGAUACUGGGGGGCUAGAGUAUAGGAGAGGAUGGUAGAAUUCCAGGUGUAGCGGUGAAAUGCGUAGAGAUCUGGAGGAAUACCGAUGGCGAAGGCAGCCAUCUGGCCUAAUACUGACGCUGAGGUGCGAAAGCAUGGGGAGCAAACAGGAUUAGAUACCCUGGUAGUCCAUGCCGUAAACGAUGUCUACUAGCCGUUGGGGCCUUUGAGGCUUUAGUGGCGCAGCUACGCGAUAAGUAGACCGCCUGGGGAGUACGGUCGCAAGACUAAAACUCAAAUGAAUUGACGGGGCCCGCACAAGCGGUGGAGCAUGUGGUU
rnacentral:rRNA from 1 species